rnacentral:rRNA from 1 species
AUUGAACGCUGGCGGCAUGCCUUACACAUGCAAGUCGAACGGUAACAGGUCUUCGGAUGCUGACGAGUGGCGAACGGGUGAGUAAUACAUCGGAACGUGCCCGAGAGUGGGGGAUAACGAGGCGAAAGCUUUGCUAAUACCGCAUACGAUCUCAGGAUGAAAGCAGGGGACCGCAAGGCCUUGCGCUCACGGAGCGGCCGAUGGCAGAUUAGGUAGUUGGUGGGAUAAAAGCUUACCAAGCCGACGAUCUGUAGCUGGUCUGAGAGGACGACCGGCCACACUGGGACUGAGACACGGCCCAGGCUCCUACGGGAGGCAGCAGUGGGGAAUUUUGGACAAUGGGCGCAAGCCUGAUCCAGCCAUGCCGCGUGCAGGAUGAAGGCCUUCGGGUUGUAAACUGCUUUUGUACGGAACGAAAAGGCUCUGGUUAAUACCUGGGGUCCAUGACGGUACCGUAAGAAUAAGCACCGGCUAACUACGUGCCAGCCGCCGCGGUAACAC